ACCCCUUCCCAUCCCGAACAGGACCGUGAAACAACUUUGCGCCGAUGAUAGUGCUGCAACCAGUGUGAAAGUAGGUUAUCGUCAGGC
rnacentral:rRNA from 1 species